GGGGUCUGGAGGGGCGUGGCCGAAGAGGGGCAGUCGAGGGUUUUGGGGGAUAGGAGGGAGGAAAAGGUCGUCUUCCCCAUUCAGUCCCCUUUGGAAGCUGGAGAGGUGGGGCACUGGUUGGGGAAGAACCUGAAAGGAGGCCUCAGAGGCAGGGGCUCCGUGGUGGCGGUCGCCUUCCGCAGGCUGAGCGAUGCUAUGGUGCUCUACUAUGCCAGAUGGGAAGGUCUUCAAGCUGGAGAUGCGCUUGGGGCCGGGCUGGAAGGGCGAGGCCCUGGAGCAGGCCAUCAUCAGCCAGGCCCCGCAGGUGGAGAAGCUCAUUGCUACGACGGCCCACGAGCGGAUGCCCUGGUACCACAGCAGCCUGACGCGUGAGGAGGCCGAGCGCAAACUUUACUCUGGGGCGCAGACCGACGGCAAGUUCCUGCUGAGGCCACGGAAGGAGCAGGGCACAUACGCCCUGUCCCUCAUCUAUGGGAAGACGGUGUACCACUACCUCAUCAGCCAAGACAAGGCGGGCAAGUACUGCAUUCCCGAGGGCACCAAGUUUGACACGCUCUGGCAGCUGGUGGAGUAUCUGAAGCUGAAGGCGGACGGGCUCAUCUACUGCCUGAAGGAGGCCUGCCCCAACAGCAGCGCCAGCAACGCCUCAGGGGCUGCUGCUCCCACACUCCCAGCCCACCCAUCCACGUUGACUCAUCCUCAGAGACGGAUCGACACCCUCAACUCAGAUGGAUACAGCCCUGAGCCAGCACGCGUAACGUCCCCAGACAAACCGCGGCCGAUGCCCAUGGACACGAGCGUGUAUGAGAGCCCCUACAGCGACCCAGAGGAGCUCAAGGACAAGAAGCUCUUCCUGAAACGCGAUAACCUCCUCAUAGCCGACAUUGAACUUGGCUGCGGCAACUUUGGCUCAGUGCGCCAGGGCGUGUACCGCAUGCGCAAGAAGCAGAUAGACGUGGCCAUCAAGGUGCUGAAGCAGGGCACGGAGAAGGCGGACACGGAGGAGAUGAUGCGCGAGGCGCAGAUCAUGCACCAGCUGGACAACCCCUACAUCGUGCGGCUCAUUGGCGUCUGCCAGGCCGAGGCCCUCAUGCUGGUCAUGGAGAUGGCUGGCGGCGGGCCGCUGCACAAGUUCCUGGUCGGCAAGAAGGAGGAGAUCCCCGUGAGCAAUGUGGCCGAGCUGCUGCACCAGGUGUCCAUGGGGAUGAAGUACCUGGAGGAGAAGAACUUUGUGCACCGUGACCUGGCGGCCCGCAAUGUCCUGCUGGUUAACCGGCACUACGCCAAGAUCAGCGACUUUGGCCUCUCCAAAGCACUGGGUGCCGACGACAGCUACUACACUGCCCGCUCAGCAGGGAAGUGGCCGCUCAAGUGGUACGCACCCGAGUGCAUCAACUUCCGCAAGUUCUCCAGCCGCAGCGAUGUCUGGAGCUACGGGGUCACCAUGUGGGAGGCCUUGUCCUACGGCCAGAAGCCCUACAAGAAGAUGAAAGGGCCGGAGGUCAUGGCCUUCAUCGAGCAGGGCAAGCGGAUGGAGUGCCCACCAGAGUGUCCGCCCGAACUGUACGCACUCAUGAGCGACUGCUGGAUCUACAAGUGGGAGGAUCGCCCCGACUUCCUGACUGUGGAGGAGCGCAUGCGAGCCUGUUACUACAGCCUGGCCAGCAAAGCGGAAGGGCCCCCGGGCAGCGCACAGAAGGCCGAGGCUGCCUGUGCCUGAGCUCCCACUGCCCAGGGCCUGCAGCCCUCCACACCGGCUCUUCCCCGCCCUCAGCCCCACCCCAGGCCCUGCAGUCUGGCUGAGCCCUGCUUACUUGUCUCCACACACAGCUGGGCUGUGGUAGGGGUUGUCUCAGGCCACGCCGGCCUUGCAUUGCCUGCCUGGCCCCCUGUCCUCUCUGGCUGGGGAGCAGGGAGGUCCGGGAGUGUGGGGCUGUGCAGCCUGUCCUGGGCUGGUGGCUCCUGGAGGGCCCUGAGCUGAGGGCGUUGCUUACACGGAUGCCUUCCUCUGGGCCCUUACAUUGGAGCCUGGGUGUCCUCAGGUGGUCAGGCGUAGAUCACCAGAAUAAACUCAGCUUCCCUCUUGUC
rnacentral:sRNA from 1 species